GUGAAUGGUUCCAGACACUCAUGAUUGCAAAAUAAAUAUUAAAAUCCCUUCAUAAAAGUCAGUUGUGCACCUGGACUCAGGGUUACCAUGGAGAUUCAAGGCAGCAAUCUCACUGACACUGGAUCCGUGCCUUCUCUCACCCCAAAGUUACCUAUGAGGAAUUCCUGAGUUUUACUGUGGUUCAUUUAACAUCCGGAGUUCAGAGACAUGAAUACUUGAGCAGGCCGGGGCUUCGUGAGAACUAAAGCAAUGUUAGAAGAGCCCGCAUGACUGCCUUAAUGAGGAAGACUCUGCUGGAACUGGGGUCAGGGUCUCCAGGAAAUUCCAGUCCAUCAUCUCCCUUGGUGAGCAAAAGAAGCCACUGGUGGUCCUUGCAAGUAGAAGUGCAAUGAAAACAGGAUUAUGGCGAUGGAUGACAGUGUGAGAGAGAAAAGAAUUAUCAC
rnacentral:lncRNA from 1 species